AUGCAAAAGAAUUUGGAUGUUUGGAUAGUUGCAGUGCCUUUCAUUUUGAAAACUAUCUACAGGAGCUUAAAAAACUAAUUAGCUCUGGAAGACGUCCUCCUACUCAAGUCGUGAAAAGAAUUGAGGAGAGCAGAGUUUUAAUUCAAACCAAAAGCAGACAAACUAAGGAAGAUGCAGUUGGUCUAAAGUAUCCCAACAACACAUUCAUGCUAAAAGAAACAUCUUGUGAAGUGGUUUCAGUUGUUUCUGAGAGGAAGAACAGUGGAAGAAUGCUCCAGUGUACAGUCUAUGAACAGGUUGAGCCGUUAUUUCUCAGCCCUUGUGACUCUCGUUUGAUUGGAGCGUACAGAGUGCAUGUGAGAAACGCACGAAUGAAAAUUGUAUCUGAAGACUGCUUGGAACAGAGGAACAUCUUUUUUCUAUAUUUUGUUCAUUUUUGGUGUUCAAUAGUAGCUAUAUUGUUAUUGGCCGCGGAACAACGCUGCAAAAUGGUGAAAAGAGGGGAUAUGGCAGACAAACAAUUAUGGCCUAAAUACCAAGUCAGAGUCUUCACGUUUACAGACAACUAUCAAUUGGCAAGGGACAGGGCACAAAAAGGACUUGAAACAUCUAAUGUUGAGUCUGAUGGGGGCAGUAUGAGGAAGGUGCGGCAUCCUGCAAGAUUUAUAUAGGACUCCUCCAGUGAAGAUGAAGAGUUCCUGUCGUGAAGGAAAAAUAAAGCUAGGUGUACUAUGAGUUCUUCUUUGGACAGGGGAAGUUCACAAGUUUGUUCAUCACCAGUUGUCAGACCUACUUCUAUCUCUUCAAUGCAUGAUGCCAACUUACAAGCUAUCAAGAGCUUUAUUGAGGCUUCUGAAAAGAGAAUUAUGAUGAAGUUAGAGAGGAUGCAGGAUGACUUUCAAAAUGCAAUCCAAGGAUUACAACAAAUAUCUGCACCCUCCCCAUCACAUGAACAAGUGAUAUGGGAGAAACCAUGUGAGACUCAACAGGAUAUAGUAGGUCUGUGCAGCAACUUAAAAAACCUGGCACACAGAAGAAAAAUGGGCACCGGAGGAAAGAGCGACAAUCGUUUGGGUAACCGAGUCCCCCCAGAGAAAAGAGUCUCCAAAGGAAGGACCUUCUGGUAGGCCAGCUGAGCAGACCCCAGGAAAUGGCAAAGCAGAAUUUGUGAGGAGUUCCGCCCCAUCUGGCACCUCAGCCCCGCCCCUCAGUGGGGGCGGAAGUACCAGCUCCACCUUUCUGAAGAGGAAGAAGAGCCCUCCGGCCAAGGGGAGGCGGCAUGCAGGUCUUCUGGCACACCGGAGGCAGGUCUGCCAGCCCUGGAGCUAUAGACUGGACAGCAGCAGUUCUGACUCUCCCACAUCUGACAAGGGCAGCCCUGAUGACACCCCUGCUGUUCGCUUCACCGCAACUGGCACAAAAGACACCCAAAAAAACCUGGGGCCCUGCAGCUAUUCGUGGAAUUUCUGUGGUUGAACCUGCUGCCUCAGAUACCAUCCCCAGCAAAGAAAGGAUAACAUCCAGCACUGAAGUCUCAAGCGUCUUCAUUAAAGCAGUUACCCCGGGUGUAGCUGUCUGUACACCAUUACCUGUGAGUGCUUCACCGUUCGCUAGAUGUUCCCCUACAGCAAAAGAUUCAAACAACACUCCAGAUGCUCACUGGUCAGAUUUAGAGUGGAUCUCUUGCUACCUUAACUUGCUCCACUAGAAGUAAAAUAUUUGGCUCCUGUGCUCAAGUAUGAUGUACUCUGUUCAUCAAAGCACCUGCAGAGCCCCAAUCCCAAAAUACCUCUCCCAACCAGUAACCUUCAGGAGUGAAAUCUUGGGCUACUGGAAGGAUCCAGGCUGCCCCUUUAAGUGGAUCAAAGCUCGGCUCCUCACUUCUGCCAGGGGCUGCAUUAAAAACAGAGUCUGCUACUGAGAGAAGGUCUCUCUGUCCUGAAACAUUUUAUGGAUUUUACUGGUAUUUGUGGAAAACACACAAAAUGUGUUUUUGCAACAUUCUUGUGUGCAAAAUCUGGUGCUUUUGGAAUCUUUUUGCCAAUUCUGCAAACCCCUUGAAGCACCAUAGGGGAAUUUAGCUGCUGUAUCUCCUGCUAAAUCAACACCAGAAACUAGCCUGGGUAGAAACAAUCAACAUGCCUCAAAGACUUCAGUCUCAAGUGACCUGCCGAAGUGUGGUUCCUGUUCCCUUCACUCUGCUCUGGAUUGUGAUACAUACCCCACAGCUAAGCUUCAUAAACUGAAAAAAUCACUUAAAAUAUCUCCUAAAAUAAAGACUUCAGUCCCAUCUAAGAAGGCUUCUGGAGCUCCAAAUGUGUCUGACUGCAAGAUUAGCCAAAAACGGGGGGGAGAGAGCUCCUCAUUGUGCUGCAAAUUUUGGGAUGAAAGCUAAGCCUACUGCAAAUGCCCCGUCAUUGAGGAGGCCCUUGUCUUGUUUGGCUGCAAAACCACAGCAUCUCCUAAAAACUACUGGCUCCAAAUUGAAACCCUCAGGUCCAUCUCACAGGACUCCCAGAUGCCCCAAGGUGACACCAAACAACCCCCUCAUCCAGCUGUACUGGGGAUUGCUCUGCGGGACCGGGGUCCCAUUGCUGUGCUGGGUCCCCAUCAGGACACAUGCUGGACACUGGGGAGAAAACCCCUGCUAAAGACAGUCCAUUCUCCAGGCUUAAACCUCCAAAGGAGACACGGCCAAAAGCUACAGGCCAGGGAGGAAGCAGGGAAUGCAAGAGAGUGGGAGGGGCCUGCAGGCUGGCCGCUACUCUCACAAACCCUUCAUUGGCUUUCCUAGGUCCAUCAGGAUCCAACACUUCAGGAAGCAAGCCUUCACCAUUUGAUGAUGAAGCCUUUUGUUCUCCUGUACUUGAACUGGCCAGCCAUAUUGCUCCUGAACCCAAACCCGCCCUUCCCAAGCUGAAGAGUGAGAAGGAAAUGCAACAGGCCUGCCCAGAGCCCCCCAGGUCCCCUGUCGAGCCCAAAGGCUGCAAACUGCAGAGCAGAGAAACGGCCACUGUCCUCCCCAGGCCUGACAGUUCCGGUCCCUCACUUGCAACACAAAGUCCCUCUUGGACCUUCCGCCUGGACUCGAAGACUCCCUGCUGCUUCAGACCAGUGAGGGUACCCCCUCUGGCAAAGCAGAGAAUCUUUCACUGAAGAGCUUUGAGUUCCUUUUGAGGGAAAGCCGCAGGAGGUGCGAUGUCCAUGUUUAUGGGUUAUUUUUUAAGAAGACAUUGGAGCUCAGAGGACCAACAUGGUUAAAUGUUUGGCAUCACAGUGAAUCUAUCCAUCUUUUAACCACUAAUCCUGGGCAGGGAUGUGGGGGGUCUUGAACCUAUCUAAGAAGCACAAGGCAGGUGUGCACCCUGGACAGGAUGCCAGUCCAUCGCAGGGAACAGACACACACAUGCCCACACUCAAAAUUAUACUCUGCGGGUAAUUUAGCAAUACCAAUUAGCCUAACUGCAUGAGUUUGGACUGUGGGAGAUUUACUUAAUUUCAUUAUCUUUUAUGAAUGUUGUAUUUUUAGAAAUAAUCUUAUUUAUUUCUUUGACUGGCGAUUUUCAUGAUAUAUUUUGACUGAAAUUCAUUUCUUCUGUUUUUGCGUACUGUCAUUCUUAGACGAAUUUAUAAAGACAAUUGGAUUAA